GGCGAACGGGUGAGUAACACGUGGGUGAUCUGCCCUGCACUCUGGGAUAAGCCUGGGAAACUGGGUCUAAUACCGGAUAGGACCAUGCUUUAGUGUGUGUGGUGGAAAGUUUUUCGGUGUAGGAUGAGCCCGCGGCCUAUCAGCUUGUUGGUGGGGUAAUGGCCUACCAUGGCGGCGACGGGUAGCCGGACUGAGAGGCUGGUCGGCCACAUUGGGACUGAGAUACGGCCCAG
rnacentral:rRNA from 1 species